GGACUGUCAGCUGGCCUAGGUCCUCUGCGUACAUCAGAAGCCUGAGCGAGGGAUUCCAGAUUUUCCCGACUCUGGGUGUUAACAUACUGAUGCGUCUCAUAGUUUUUACUGGCUGGUGGCUGACUAUCAGCACACAGGUAACCAUCUGAGCUGUAAGUCCUCUCAGUGUCCCAGUGAAGCUCAUAACACAGCUGACCAGGGUGGUAGCAAGCUUGAUCCCUCCUAGCUUGAGAUCCCACCUGCUGACACACAACCACAGCACAAGAACACAUCCUAAAUACAUUUGUGCGUCUGUACCUGAACAGUUAAACCUCUCCUGCACCUGUGUAAUGUAGUUUUGAAGCACUCUGAUGUAACAUUAGCCACAGCAUGUCACUGUACUGUGAGCGAGCUGCCAGGAGAAGCCGAUGGUUUCAUUCACCCGAUGGGCAGCGGCUCUUCGCGUAAUCAUAUCAGUCUUCGGCAAUUACGGUGCAGGCGCAUCAGGGAGACAUUUACGGAGUUUUAUUUUCAUGCUCCUGUGCAUUAAUUCCAUGUAAACAAUAUGGGGAAGGAGCAGCAAAACAGAUCCGUCACCAGUUUAUGAGGGAGAUGUCAGAAGGUCCAGGCCGAGUCUGGAUGGAAUAAACGUUAAUCACAGACUUUCUGAUAAUGCCCAGAUGUUUCAAUUACAUCUGUGAUAACAUUAGACUGCAAGGUUACAUAUAAUGAUAAAUAUUUGACAGUGCUUGCAAUACCAGAGGUGGUUAGGCUGUCGGGGGGGGGG